GGCGCUUUACCAAAGUGGUUAAUGGGAUGCACUCGAAUCAUCAUUAUUCGCCAUGCAUUGGCCUCUGGCCGCGUAGGUUCAAAUCCUGCAGGCGUCG